GUGUGACUGCGUACCUUUUGUAUAAUGGGUCAGCGACUUAUAUUCUGUAGCAAGGUUAACCGAAUAGGGGAGCCGAAGGGAAACCGAGUCUUAACUGGGCGUUAAGUUGCAGGGUAUAGACCCGAAACCCGGUGAUCUAGCCAUGGGCAGGUUGAAGGUUGGGUAACACUAACUGGAGGACCGAACCGACUAAUGUUGAAAAAUUAGCGGAUGACUUGUGGCUGGGGGUGAAAGGCCAAUCAAACCGGGAGAUAGCUGGUUCUCCCCGAAAGCUAUUUAGGUAGCGCCUCGUGAAUUCAUCUCCGGGGGUAGAGCACUGUUUCGGCAAGGGGGUCAUCCCGACUUACCAACCCGAUGCAAACUACGAAUACCGGAGAAUGUUAUCACGGGAGACACACGGCGGGUGCUAACGUCCGUCGUGAAGAGGGAAACAACCCAGACCGCCAGCUAAGGUCCCAAAGUCAUGGUUAAGUGGGAAACGAUGUGGGAAGGCCCAGACAGCCAGGAUGUUGGCUUAGAAGCAGCCAUCAUUUAAAGAAAGCGUAAUAGCUCACUGGUCGAGUCGGCCUGCGCGGAAGAUGUAACGGGGCUAAACCAUGCACCGAAGCUGCGGCAGCGACGCUUAUGCGUUGUUGGGUAGGGGAGCGUUCUGUAAGCCUG
rnacentral:rRNA from 1 species